CCUACGGGAGGCAGCAGUGGGGAAUAUUGCACAAUGGGGGAAACCCUGAUGCAGCAACGCCGCGUGAGUGAAGAAGUAUUUCGGUAUGUAAAGCUCUAUCAGCAGGGAAGAGAAUGACGGUACCUGACUAAGAAGCCCCGGCUAACUACGUGCCAGCAGCCGCGGUAAUACGUAGGGGGCGAGCGUUAUCCGGAUUUACUGGGUGUAAAGGGAGCGUAGACGGUUCUGCAAGUCUGAAGUGAAAGCCCGGGGCUUAACCGCGGAACGGCUUUGGAAACUGUGGAACUGGAGUGCUGGAGAGGCAAGCGGAAUUCCUAGUGUAGCGGUGAAAUGCGUAGAUAUUAGGAGGAACACCAGUGGCGAAGGCGGCUUGCUGGACAGUAACUGACGUUGAGGCUCGAAAGCGUGGGGAGCAAACAGGAUUAGAUACCCCGGUAGUA
rnacentral:rRNA from 1 species